AUCUCUUCUCUCAUCUCUUUUCUCAGAUUCACCGAAUCCGCCAACAACGCCAGGGCUCGCCUUGUUCCCUCGUCGAGCCAAGGAAGACGAGACCGUAAAGGUCAAGACGCAUUCGAUUCAAGUGGACUGUCUCCUGCUGGUGCAGGUAGCUUUAGCAUAUCAACUGUACAGACAAAUCCUUUGAAUCCUAAUCCUGCACCAUCGUUUUCUCAAACAUUUUCAAGUCCUUUUAAUUCCUCAAUCUCAUUUGGUUUAUUUGCCCAAAAACCCUCAUCCUUUGCAUACUCCCAGUAUGCAGAGUAGUUCAUUAGGUACUACAAGCAACCAACUGGGUAUUACUCAACCAGUUACAUCUCAACCUCUUCAGAGUAGUCCUUUUGGCUUCAGGCAACACCAACACCAUUAAUCAACCACAGCCAG